rnacentral:tRNA from 1 species
UGGAGUGUGACUCAGUGGUAAAGUGCAUGCCUAGCAGGUUGUGAGGCCCUGGGUUCAAGUCCCUACACUUCAG